CUCCCCCUACCCAUUUCUUCUUUUCUCCUUCUCUUUCUCUUUUCUUCCUUUCUUUCUCUUCUCUUUCUCCUCCAUCGUUGGCGACCGUGUUUGAGUGUCAAUUUUCCUGCGGGAGCAAAUCCAGCGUUCGGGCGUGAUUAUUUUCCGGCAAGGAGUGAUUUCGAUCUAUGUAGAUGUUAUGGAAUGAAUUCAAGCUAUUCUGGAGCUUUUAAGUCUGAGUAAAAGACCAAUGAUUAAGUUGGAAUCGUGUUCGGGGAUCAUUGGAUAAUAGUGCACUUUAAGUACGAAACGAAGAAUCGAGCUGGCAUACUGUGCAUUGUCCAGUAAAAUGCACAUAAAUUUUCGUUAAGAAAUUCGUUUGGGCUCCAUAAUAUAUCAUUGGAAAGCUAUUUAAAAGGGCUGCAACUUUCAAGUUUUAUAUUUUCACAAAUUCCGAAAGCCGCAUCGCAUGGGCCGCAGCGUGGUAUACGGAUGUUGCCUAUUUUGCUCCAGCCUCGAAAUUUUAAGGUUCCUGAUCAACCCACUACCACACUGCAUGGCGCGUCACUCCAUACGGUUCGCCUGUGCAAUUUGUACAGAUCUAUUUUCCUAUUUCACGAUGGAGAAGGUGUUUUCGUCUGGGCCCGACCCUACUUGGUAUAAAUACAUGUAAAAAUGUUAUUUUUGUAACUUUUGACAGACUUUUGACCUAGAGAGAGCACAGAGCCGUCGUGGAAGCCGGGUUUCAUCUUUUCUUCCACCAAACUUAUUAAUUUUUAUGUUUCUUUGUAUGAUCAGUUAUUUUGAUACCAUGUCUAUGUGGAGUCCAUAUUGUGGAGGACCCCACUGGUGGAAAAAUUGUCAAAAUAUUUUCGGGAGCAAGUUGUGCGCAAAAUCUCAAUCCUUUGUUAGAAAUAUUUAUAAUAUAUGUGGUGGUCAAGAUGGCCAUUGGGAUGGUUGUCCUAAUUCUUUUCAUCCUUCUCUGAGCCCUUAUUAUGAUCUUUCUAACAGUGUUUGUGAGUUUGAUAGGGGAAAUGAAGGGCAGGAUAUGGAGCGUGAUGAAUAUAUUAGGGAUAUUCUGAGGCAAGUAGCAGAGCAACAAGAUGAACUCAAAAAAGAUAAGAGAAGAAUGAGGGAAACAAUCACAAGAAUGAAAGCUAAUAUGGAAGAAUUGAUUGAAGAGAGCGAGUUCCAACAAAAGGGAAAUUUUGAAAAAAGUGGAGAUUUUGAGCCAAACAUGGCUAGCGGAACAAGCUGAAAAGUUGAAAACAUAUGAGGUUCAACAUGAGGAAAUUACUGAAGGGACGAGACACUUUAUAGAAGGAAGAGCUGAACUGGGACAAGAGAAUGAAAAACUUGGCAUUGAUAUGCACUACUUGGGAGCUCAAUGAUUGCAAAGGUUGAUGCGUCUAACGCCCAACAAAAUAGUUCUGAGUUAUGUGAAACUGAAAAGGAACUCAUAUGCUAAAUUGAGGAGCUAAAACUGGAGAGUCAAUCAUUCGACCAUACUUUUAUUGAUGAUGUCCAUGUUGAUGAAAACACUCUAGAGUCAUGUGAGGAAGUAGAUAAUAUUAUAGUUGGAGACUCUAGUGUGUGUAAAUAUGAGGAUGUAAAGAGUAAUACAAUUCUAGAGUUAGGGCGUAUUGGUCUUCAUUCCAUACACUUUUCAACAUUGUGUUUAGAUGAUGACAUGGAAACUGAAUCAUCUGAGCCUUUGGAGGAUCCAAUGGAUGAGGAACGGGGUGCUUUCAUUCUUGAAUUUCUCGUGCCAGAGAGAAAAAAUUACAUACCUCAUCCGAAGUCCAAGAUGUAUAGAAUACGAAAUUGGUUACUUGGCCCAAUUACAUUUGUACUACCACCCCGAGAGCAUAGCAAAAAGCUUGAAACCAAAUUAGGGGCUCAAUUCACAAGUUCAAGGUAGAGACAAAAGUAGUUCAAGUCAUGCCGCAACGAUAAAUCAGGAUUAUAAGCAUAGGAAGCAAAGCCAUUGGAAGAGUGCAAACGUCAGCUAGAUGGUGUGAACUAAGUGUGGGGUGCCCACACAAAGGACCAUGCCUGGAAGAAGUCUGAGUACCCGAGCGAUUCUGAUCUAUGUAGAUGUUAUGGAGUGAAUCAAGCUAUUCCAUAGCUUUGAAAUCUGAGUAAAAGCCCAAUGAUUAAGUUGGGAUUGUGUUUGGGGAUCAACGGAUGAUAGUGCACUUUAAGAACGAAACGAAGAAUCGAGCAGACAUACUGCGCAUUGUCUAGUAAAAUGCGCAUAACCUUUCGCUCAAAAAUCCAUUUGGGCUCUACAAUAUAUCGUGGUAAAGCUAUUUAAAAAAUCUACAACUUUCAUGUUUUAUAUUUUCUCAAAUUCCCACAGCUGCGGUGCGUGUGGCGUCGCGUAGCGCACCGUGGCUGCCUAUUUUGCUCUUGCCUCGAAAUUGCAAGGUUCCUGAUAAACCCCACUACCACACUGUGUUGUGCGUCGCCCCAUGCGGUGCGCCUGUGCACUUUUUAUAGAGUUAUUUUUCUAUUUCACGCGGGAGAAGGUAUUUUCGUCUGGGCCUGAUCCUACUUAGUAUAAAUACAUGUAAAAAUGUUAUUUUUGUAACUUUUGACAGACUUUUGACCAAGGGAGAGCACAGAGCGGCCGUGGAGGCCGAGUUUCAUCUUUUCUUCCGCCAAACUUAUUUGUUUUUAUGUUUCUUUGUAUGAUCAGUUAUUUUGCUGCCAUGUCUAUGUGAAGUUAAACUUCACAACCUAGUGUUGUGGUUCUUUCAUGACUAUUGUUAUUCGAAUAUUGAUUUUGUUUUCUUGA